rnacentral:tRNA from 1 species
CCUGGUGGCUCAGACGAUAAAGCGUCUGCCUGAAAUGCGGGAGACCAGGGUUCAAUCCCUGGGUCAGGA